CAGGUCGUAAUUAGGCUCCAUCUAAUCUUAACGCAAUCUGAUGAUCACCACCUGCAGGAGGGCUGAUGGCCCUUCAAAGGAGGCAGCCCAGGAGGCUCCUGUUCCUUCUAAGUGGGGUGCUGGUAGCUCCUGAGAGCUCCUAGCUGUGUGAUGCUUAAGAGGAUGGCAAUGGAGUUGCUGUAGUAGAAGUGUGACUACUUUAUUUGCUUUAAUGUGGUUUGGAGGGCUAGACUGGAGAAGGAAGCACAGAGGGAAGUUUUUUCUCCUUCAGCGUUGUCUUGAUGUCUUUUCCCUGGCUCUGUGGAUCCUCUGGAAGGUCUCACAGCUGCACCAUCAAACAAUUCAGAUACUGGAAAAUAAUAUUUCCCACCUAAAAUUAGAUAGCCAUCUGCAUUUGCUAAGGAAGGAAUAAUGCUCUUGCUUUGUAGUCAAAUGUGCCUGACAUGCCCUGGCUCCCAGAGCACUUGCAGCCAGGGAGCACAGAAUGGGAGAGUGACAGCUGUGAAGAAGCGCUGAUGGUGGCCACGUUAGGAUGAUUUGUAGGGUUGGUGACAGCAAGAGGCCUCUGCAGCCCACGGGAAGCCACAGAGCUUCAGAGACUGUAAAGCAACUGGCUCAGAAUCGAGUCCUGACGUCUUUACGCAGUUCUUAACCAGUCCUUGUGCAAGAGAAGAGCAUCUUGGGUGCAGAUAUUACAGAAGCCUGCAAACCUGAAGAACACCAAGAGAGUGAACACAGGACCUGCACCCAUCACGGCGUUCAGCUGCCAGACCUUCACAUCUCAGGAUGGCCCCUGAAAUAGCUGCACACGUGGAACAAGAUUUACUCAGUGAAUGGUGCUGCUGAUGGAUGCUGAGUGUUGUUUGGGGACAAAGAGGUGCAGAUGUCUCGGCUGUAUGGAGCAGCAAUGGGGGGGACAGGACUCUUGAUUAUUUGUUCAAAGUUGCCUCUGCAGUGGACGGUCUUAGGAAGCCACGGCCAGGUGAUGAAUGAUUGUAGCAGACUUGCUGGGUGACCUGCUGCUGCCCAUGGCCAGUACCAACGGCCAGGACAUCCAUCGUGAGCGCAGUUCCCUCCUGUGAAAUGGCUUUGCCCUUCAUCUCCAAUGCACGGCGAGUUUGUAAUUGUGAACUGCAGGGAACACUGCGCUUAAAGCUGGGAUGAUGCAGGGGAGGAACCCAGCUGUCUGCGGUCCUGAGCUCCUCUGCCUGUUCGUAUUGCCCUCUGUGUCUUAGGAUGUGCAGCAUGGGGCUUGGUGGGCUGCCUGCUCCUUGCAUUCAUGGUGAGCACGGGGAGUCCUGCACUGCAAAUUGAUUUUGGCUCCAUCACUUUUUUUUUUUUUUUUUUUUUUUUU